rnacentral:rRNA from 1 species
UACUAGAGUAGCACUCGCAUAUCAAUAAGCGGAGGAAAAGAAACUAACAAGGAUUCCCCUAGUAACGGCGAGUGAAGCGGGAAGAGCUCAAAUUUGAAAUCUUAAAGGGUUUCCCUUUACGAAUUGUAGUUUAAAGAAGUGUUUUCUGUUGAGGUUUUGGUAAAAGUUCUUUGGAAUAGGACAUCAUAGAGGGUGAGAAUCCCGUAUUUGACCUUUACUUCCAACUUUGUGAUACACUUUCAAAGAGUCGGAUUGUUUGGGAAUGCAGUCCAAAAUGGGUGGUAAAUUUCAUCUAAAGCUAAAUAUUGGCGAGAGACCGAUAGCGAACAAGUACCGUGAGGGAAAGAUGAAAAGAACUUUGAAAAGAGAGUUAAACAGUACGUGAAAUUGUCAAAAGGGAAGCGUUCGACACCAGUGUUGUUUUUCUGAAAAUCAAUUAAAGAACUGUUUAUGCUAAGUUGUUUAGACUUUAUCAGCUAACUGUUUAGUUUUGAGCUUUUCUUUAAUGCACUUUUCAGUUAACAAGUCAACAUCAAUUUCUUUUGCUGUAAAAAAGCUUGAGGAAGGUGGCUUGAGAUUCGUCUUAAGUGUUUAUAGCCUCUUGCCUAUGCAGUCGGAGAGAUUGAGGUCUGCAGCGUAGAUCCUUCGGGGCUAAAUGCAUUUGUGCUAAGUUAUAGCAUUUUACAGACAACUUGUUGACUAUGAUUUGUCUUAUAGCUUACUCGCUUAUGUUAUUUUACCUACGCUUAGGAUGUUGAUAUCGCGCUCUCACUG